UAUAAUAUCUAAAUAAACGCAAAUAAAUAAUAAUAGAUAAAAACAUAUUUUUAUAUAUGAUUUUCAUCCCGCGCGGGUCUUAAUCUAGUUUUAGUUUACUACGAUGUGAUCAAUUACAUCACUAUAAAGAUUUAUUUUGACUGCGAACAAACAAUAUUCUAUCUAAAAAAUACGACUAUUCUAAAUUUUAAUUUGAUUACUUUCGGGUAAUACUGUAAAUUAGUAGUCUAUUCAUUUUCUCAGCUUUGUUUCAAAAAAAAAAAAAAAAAAAAAUUCAUUUUCUCAGCUUUUACAAAUUUAAAACGCUUAAAAUAUACUCCAGCUAGCUAAUUGUCCUCUUCUUCUUUACACAAUUUCGUCAGGUUUCUUCGAGAAAAAGAGUGGGAACCGAGCGGGGAUAUUAGCCUUUCAAAAACAAAAACAUCAAGAUCAAACAGUUCAUUAAAUUGUUUAGAAAAAUGUGUGUUUAAGUGUUUGUUAACCAUGUAAGAAAAUUGAGAAAUUUAUAUAUCCUUUCUUCAACCUUUUUCUUAUAAAUUUAUAUGUUUUUUCUUAUGUUUUAUUUUGUUUUGCCC
rnacentral:lncRNA from 1 species